rnacentral:rRNA from 1 species
GUCUAUGGCCAUGCCACUCUGAAUGUGCUCCAUCUCGUCUGAUCUCAGAAGCUAAGCAGGGUCGGGCCUGGUUAGUACUUGGAUGGGAGAACAGCUAGGAAUAGCAGAUGCAGUAGGCG